rnacentral:rRNA from 1 species
UACGUAGGGUGCAAGCGUUGUCCGGAAUUAUUGGGCGUAAAGAGCUCGUAGGCGGUUUGUCGCGUCUGCUGUGAAAACUCGGGGCUUAACUCCGGGCCUGCAGUGGGUACGGGCAGACUAGAGUGCGGUAGGGGAGACUGGAAUUCCAGGUGUAGCGGUGAAAUGCGUAGAUAUCUGGAGGAAUACCGGUGGCGAAGGCGGCAUCCUGGACCGGCAUUGACGCUGAGGAGCGAAAGCCAGGGGAGCAAACGGG